UCUCAAGUGCCUAACAAGAUGGAAGAUAA
rnacentral:piRNA from 1 species